UACGUAGGUGGCAAGCGUUGUCCGGAUUUACUGGGCGUAAAGGGCGCGUAGGCGGUCAGCACAAGUCAGUUGUGAAAUCUCCGGGCUUAACUCGGAAAGGUCAACUGAUACUGUGCGACUAGAGUGCAGAAGGGGCAACUGGAAUUCUCGGUGUAGCGGUGAAAUGCGUAGAUAUCGAGAGGAACACCUGCGGCGAAGGCGGGUUGCUGGGCUGACACUGACGCUGAGGCGCGAAAGCCAGGGGAGCGAACGGG
rnacentral:rRNA from 1 species